rnacentral:rRNA from 1 species
GGUUAAGCGACUAAGCGUACACGGUGGAUGCCCUGGCAGUCAGAGGCGAUGAAGGACGUGCUAAUCUGCGAAAAGCGUCGGUAAGGUGAUAUGAACCGUUACAGCCGGCGAUGUCCGAAUGGGGAAACCCAGUGUGAUUCGUCACACUAUCGUUAACUGAAUACAUAGGUUAACGAGGCGAACCGGGGGAACUGAAACAUCUAAGUACCCCGAGGAAAAGAAAUCAACCGAGAUUCCCCCAGUAGCGGCGAGCGAACGGGGAGCAGCCCAGAGUCUGAAUCAGCUUGUGUGUUAGUGGAACGGUCUGGAAAGUCCGACGGUACAGGGUGAUAGUCCCGUACACCAAAAUGCACAGGCUGUGAACUCGAAGAGUAGGGCGGGACACGUGGUAUCCUGUCUGAAUAUGGGGGGACCAUCCUCCAAGGCUAAAUACUCCUGACUGACCGAUAGUGAACCAGUACCGUGAGGGAAAGGCGAAAAGAACCCCGGCGAGGGGAGUGAAAAAGAACCUGAAACCGUGUACGUACAAGCAGUGGGAGCACCUUUAUGGUGUGACUGCGUACCUUUUGUAUAAUGGGUCAGCGACUUAUAUUCUGUAGCAAGGUUAACCGUAUAGGGGAGCCGCAGGGAAACCGAGUCUUAACUGGGCGUUAAGUUGCAGGGUAUAGACCCGAAACCCGGUGAUCUAGCCAUGGGCAGGUUGAAGGUUGGGUAACACUAACUGGAGGACCGAACCGACUAAUGUUGAAAAAUUAGCGGAUGACUUGUGGCUGGGGGUGAAAGGCCAAUCAAACCGGGAGAUAGCUGGUUCUCCCCGAAAGCUAUUUAGGUAGCGCCUCGUGAACUCAUCUUCGGGGGUAGAGCACUGUUUCGGCUAGGGGGUCAUCCCGACUUACCAACCCGAUGCAAACUACGAAUACCGAAGAAUGUUAUCACGGGAGACACACGGCGGGUGCUAACGUCCGUCGUGAAGAGGGAAACAACCCAGACCGCCAGCUAAGGUCCCAAAGUCAUGGUUAAGUGGGAAACGAUGUGGGAAGGCACAGACAGCCAGGAUGUUGGCUUAGAAGCAGCCAUCAUUUAAAGAAAGCGUAAUAGCUCACUGGUCGAGUCGGCCUGCGCGGAAGAUGUAACGGGGCUAAACCAUGCACCGAAGCUGCGGCAGCGACACUAUGUGUUGUUGGGUAGGGGAGCGUUCUGUAAGCCUGCGAAGGUGACCUGUGAGGGUUGCUGGAGGUAUCAGAAGUGCGAAUGCUGACAUAAGUAACGAUAAAGCGGGUGAAAAGCCCGCUCGCCGGAAGACCAAGGGUUCCUGUCCAACGUUAAUCGGGGCAGGGUGAGUCGACCCCUAAGGCGAGGCCGAAAGGCGUAGUCGAUGGGAAACAGGUUAAUAUUCCUGUACUUGGUGUUACUGCGAAGGGGGGACGGAGAAGGCUAUGUUAGCCGGGCGACGGUUGUCCCGGUUUAAGCAUGUAGGCUGGUUAUCCAGGCAAAUCCGGAUAAUCAAGGCUGAGGUGUGAUGACGAGGCACUACGGUGCUGAAGUAACAAAUGCCCUGCUUCCAGGAAAAGCCUCUAAGCAUCAGGUAACAUCAAAUCGUACCCCAAACCGACACAGGUGGUCAGGUAGAGAAUACCAAGGCGCUUGAGAGAACUCGGGUGAAGGAACUAGGCAAAAUGGUGCCGUAACUUCGGGAGAAGGCACGCUGGUGUGUAGGUGAAGUCCCUGCGGAUGGAGCUGAGACCAGUCGAAGAUACCAGCUGGCUGCAACUGUUUAUUAAAAACACAGCACUGUGCAAACACGAAAGUGGACGUAUACGGUGUGACGCCUGCCCGGUGCCGGAAGGUUAAUUGAUGGGGUUAUCCGUAAGGAGAAGCUCUUGAUCGAAGCCCCGGUAAACGGCGGCCGUAACUAUAACGGUCCUAAGGUAGCGAAAUUCCUUGUCGGGUAAGUUCCGACCUGCACGAAUGGCGUAAUGAUGGCCAGGCUGUCUCCACCCGAGACUCAGUGAAAUUGAACUCGCUGUGAAGAUGCAGUGUACCCGCGGCAAGACGGAAAGACCCCGUGAACCUUUACUAUAGCUUGACACUGAACAUUGAGCCUUGAUGUGUAGGAUAGGUGGGAGGCUUUGAAGCGUGGACGCCAGUCUGCGUGGAGCCAACCUUGAAAUACCACCCUUUAAUGUUUGAUGUUCUAACGUUGGCCCCUUACCGGGGUUGCGGACAGUGUCUGGUGGGUAGUUUGACUGGGGCGGUCUCCUCCCAAAGCGUAACGGAGGAGCACGAAGGUUAGCUAAUCCUGGUCGGACAUCAGGAGGUUAGUGCAAUGGCAUAAGCUAGCUUGACUGCGAGCGUGACGGCGCGAGCAGGUGCGAAAGCAGGUCAUAGUGAUCCGGUGGUUCUGAAUGGAAGGGCCAUCGCUCAACGGAUAAAAGGUACUCCGGGGAUAACAGGCUGAUACCGCCCAAGAGUUCAUAUCGACGGCGGUGUUUGGCACCUCGAUGUCGGCUCAUCACAUCCUGGGGCUGAAGUAGGUCCCAAGGGUAUGGCUGUUCGCCAUUUAAAGUGGUACGCGAGCUGGGUUUAGAACGUCGUGAGACAGUUCGGUCCCUAUCUGCCGUGGGCGCUGGAGAAUUGAGGGGGGCUGCUCCUAGUACGAGAGGACCGGAGUGGACGCAUCACUGGUGUUCGGGUUGUCAUGCCAAUGGCACUGCCCGGUAGCUAAAUGCGGAAGAGAUAAGUGCUGAAAGCAUCUAAGCACGAAACUUGCCCCGAGAUGAGUUCUCCCUGAGACUUUAAGUCUCCUGAAGGAACGUUAAAGACGAUGACGUUGAUAGGCCGGGUGUGUAAGCGCAGCGAUGCGUUGAGCUAACCGGUACUAAUGAACCGUGAGGCUUAACCUU